rnacentral:rRNA from 1 species
GACGAACGCUGGCGGCGUGCUUAACACAUGCAAGUCGAACGGAAAGGCCUGCUUUCCCUCGUGGAUUGCGGGUACUCGAGUGGCGAACGGGUGAGUAACACGUGAGUGAUCUGCCCCCAACUUGGGUAUAAGCCUGGGAAACUGGGUCUAAUUCCCGAUAGGACUGCAGGGUGGUGCCUGUGGUGGAAAACGAUUUUCUAGUGGUUGGGGAUGAGCUCGCGGCCUAUCAGCUUGUUGGUGGGGUAAUGGCCUACCAAGGCGGCGACGGGUAGCCGGCCUGAGAUGGUGGACGGCCACAUUGGGACUGGGAUACGGCCCAGACGCCUGCGGGAGGCAGCAGUGGGGAAUAUUGCACAAUGGGCGGAAGCCUGAUGCAGCGACGCCGCGUGGGGGAUGACGGCCUUCGGGUUGUAAACUCCUUUCGACCGCGAGGAAGCCACCUGGUUGGAAGGGUGGUGACGGUAGUGGUAGAAGAAGCACCGGCUAACUACGUG